GGUAACAUUUGCAAACAUCUUUUUUCUUUCUUUUUGAAACAUCAUAAGACAUGUGCUAUUGGGCCUAUACUGUUGUAGGCUAUUCCAGGGUACACCAUACAUCGAUGGAGUCGCCCCUGCCGAACCCAGCAACAUAUCAUUUUAUGAUUAUGCAAAGCGACUUAUAAAUUAGUUUUUUUUAAUGCAAUUGAAGACGAAAAGUAAAAUGAUGUUUAGGUGAUCAUUAAAUAAAGUACAGAAUUGUU